rnacentral:rRNA from 1 species
UUAGAGUUUGAUCCUGGCUCAGGAUGAACUCUUUCGGCAGGCUUAACACAUGCAAGUCGAGGGGCAGCAUGUCCAGCAAUGGAUGAUGGCGACCGGCGGAAGGGUGCGUAACGCGUGAGCAACAUGCCCUAUACAGGGAGAUACACCAGGGAAACUUGGUCUAAUAUCCCAUAUCAUUCAUUGAAGGCAUCUUUAAUGAAUUAAAGCUUCGGUGGUAUAGGAUUGGCUCGCGUGACAUUAGCCAGAUGGUGAGGUAACGGCUCACCAUAGCAAUGAUGUCUAGGGGUUUUGAGAGGAAGGCCCCCCACACUGGGACUGAGACACGGCCCAGACUCCUACGGGAGGCAGCAGUGAGGAAUAUUGGACAAUGGAUGGAAAUCUGAUCCAGCCAUGCCGCGUGCAGGAAGACGGCCUUAUGGGUUGUAAACUGCUUUUAUACGGGAGCAAUAAGGGUUACGAGUAAUCCGAUGAGAGUACUGUAUGAAUAAGGAUCGGCUAACUCCGUGCCAGCAGCCGCGGUAAUACGGAGGAUCCGAGCGUUAUCCGGAAUUAUUGGGUUUAAAGGGUGCGUAGGCGGCCAUUUAAGUCAGCGGUGAAAUUUUGCAGCUUAACUGUAACAGCGCCGUUGAUACUGUUUGGCUAGGAUUUGGUUGUAGUGUGCGGAAUGUGUGGUGUAGCGGUGAAAUGCUUAGAUAUCACACAGAACACCGAUUGCGAAGGCAGCACACUAAGUCAUUAUUGACGCUGAGGCACGAAAGUGUGGGGAUCAAACAGGAUUAGAUACCCUGGUAGUCCACACUGUA